rnacentral:rRNA from 1 species
AUUGAACGCUGGCGGCAGGCCUAACACAUGCAAGUCGAACGAGUGGCGGACGGGUGAGUAAUGUCUGGGAAACUGCCUGAUGGAGGGGGAUAACUACUGGAAACGGUAGCUAAUACCGCAUACCAUCGGAUGUGCCCAGAUGGGAUUAGCUAGUAGGUGGGGUAAAGGCUCACCUAGGCGACGAUCCCUAGCUGGUCUGAGAGGAUGACCAGCCACACUGGAACGGAGACACGGUCCAGACUCCUACGGGAGGCAGCAGUGGGGAAUAUUGCAAAAUGGGCGCAAGCCUGAUGCAGCCGUGCCGCGUGUAUGAAGAAGGCCUUCGGGUUGUAAAGUACUUUCGGCGGGGAGGCGUUACCCGCGGAAGAAGCACCGGCUAACUCCGUGCCAGCCGCCGCGUAAUUC